GCAUGAAUAGCAACACAACAUGGCUCGUGGUAACGAAAGCGAGGACAAACCAGAACUCCGCGUCCCGUCGGAGCCGCAGGUUCGGGGCAGCGCCGAGCCUCCUGCGCGUGUUGGUUCGGUGCUCAGUGUAACGCGAAGGUCAGAGACAAGCUGCUGUGCAGUGUAAACCUACAGCAGCUCCGCCAGUAACACGUUGUCUUUGAAUGAGCGACCUGAGCUGCAGACGCUUGUGAGCAGAUUUUGCAGAGCUUCUGGCUUCUCUGUGAUGAUGGUGCCAGGAAUCAUUGUGGAGCUGGUGCGGCUGAAACGCUUCAGGCACAUACAGACAACAGGACAGUCUGAAGGAGCCUAUGGGUUGUCUACCUCCGUCCCCGUGUGAGGCAGUGCUGCAGUCAACUUUGUCGCGCCAUGAAAGCACAUCACCACCAAGAGCCCCAGAGUGCAGAGAAGUUUUCCUCCUCGCCUCCGCGUGUGAUGCAGUCCGAGACUCAGACGAAGGAACAGACGCAUGCACCCAGUCCGGCUGCUGGUGGCGUGUUGGAACAUGCCUUGACUUGUUGUGCUGCCCUGGUAAAGCAGUGAGAAACAACCAAAGAGAGAGGGGCUAGUGGUCAACACUUUGCCUGUAUGAUGUGACCCACACACGGGAGAAGCAGCUAUGGACAGAAUCCUGCUGGUGUCAACACCGGAGAGCAGCCACAGGAGAGGAGCAUGGAUGGAGGAGCUCCACUGCUGACCCCCCCGCUUGAGCUUCCGGCUGCUGUCAUUGGACCACACUACCCCCUGGAGCUUUCAGUGAGACUGAUGCCAACAGCAACCACCACCACAACACAGGAAAAAUGUGAGCGUCCAAAAAAGCCAGACUCACGGGUGGAAGCGCGCAGCAAAGUCCACAGAAGGACGGAUGGUGGGUCGGACGCGGCUGCUGUGGGUGUUUCUCUGGCAGUGUCUUAGCUGGUUGUUGUGAGGAGUGAGAACGAAGCAAUCAGCAAGUAUACUGCCGCAGAAAUUCUUCGCAAUAAGAGGCCCUGGGAUCACGGUCAGCGCUGGGAGCAACACGGGCGCCAGGAAAAGAUUCAAAUCAGCAGUGACCCGCUGCUAGGUUUUCACCUGCCGACCCCGUAGAAAUUAACAAGCACCGAGGAGCCAAUGCAGAAUUAAUAGAAGAUAGAGCAACUGAGAGCAAGGCCUUUGUCUUUACUGCCUCUACAGCGUUAACGUGGAUCAACACCUCAAACUUCUUCAGUGUAAUUCCUUAUCGAUGCUCUGCUGCCACCUGCUGACUGAAAACAGCCUCCCAUCAUGCUUUUGUUCACCAAACACUGCAGCAAUUUAUAAUAAGUGAAUUGUCUUUUUCUUACAAUCGUCUAUUCAUUAUAAAAAUGUGAUGUUGUUUAUUAUAAGUCCAGAUUUGUCUUUGUCUACAAAUUAAGUAUUUUUAAUUGGUUGUUUUACUGGUUGAAUUUACCGCAUCAGUUGCCACUUGAAGCUAAAUAAAUAUAACUGUGAGGAAAGAAAAUAAAAGUUAUGUAAAAACUGA